GGCAUGGUGGUGCAGUGGAUUGCACUGUUGCCUCGCAUCGAGAAGGUCUUUGGUUCGAAUCCUGGACCGGGGCC
rnacentral:tRNA from 1 species